rnacentral:rRNA from 1 species
UACGAAGGGUGCAAGCGUUACUCGGAAUUACUGGGCGUAAAGCGUGCGUAGGUGGUUCGUUAAGUCUGUCGUGAAAGCCCCGGGCUCAACCUGGGAAUGGCGAUGGAUACUGGCGGGCUAGAGUGCGGUAGAGGAGAGUGGAAUUCCCGGUGUAGCAGUGAAAUGCGUAGAGAUCGGGAGGAACAUCAGUUGCGAAGGCGGCUCUCUGGGCCGAUACUGACGCUGAGGAGCGAAAGCGUGGGGAGCGAACAGG